rnacentral:rRNA from 1 species
CGGAAAGACCCCAUGAACCUUUACUGUAGCUUUGUAUUGGACUUUGAACAGAUCUGUGUAGGAUAGGUGGGAGGCUUUGAAGUGAGGACGCUAGUUCUCAUGGAGCCAACGUUGAAAUACCACCCUGGUGUGUUUGAGGUUCUAACCUAGGUCCAUUAUCUGGAUCGGGGACAGUGCAUGGUAGGCAGUUUGACUGGGGCGGUCUCCUCCCAAAGCGUAACGGAGGAGCACGAAGGUACCCUCAGCACGGUCGGACAUCGUGCAAUGAGUGCAAGAGCAUAAGGGUGCUUGACUGCGAGACAGACACGUCGAGCAGGUGCGAAAGCAGGUUCUAGUGAUCCGGUGGUUCUGUAUGGAAGGGCCAUCGCUCAACGGAUAAAAGGUACUCCGGGGAUAACAGGCUGAUACCGCCCAAGAGUUCACAUCGACGGCGGUGUUUGGCACCUCGAUGUCGGCUCAUCACAUCCUGGGGCUGAAGUCGGUCCCAAGGGUAUGGCUGUUCGCCAUUUAAAGUGGUACGCGAGCUGGGUUCAGAACGUCGUGAGACAGUUCGGUCCCUAUCUGCCGUGGGCGUUGGAUGUUUGAGAAGAGCUGCUCCUAGUACGAGAGGACCGGAGUGGACGACCCUCUGGUGUUCCGGUUGUCACGCCAGUGGCAUUGCCGGGUAGCUAUGGUCGGACGGGAUAACC